GUCCCAGCAGACUUCCCUGGAAAUUCUCAUUGCAGCUCAGGUGGUAUAAAGCCCAGUCUUGUAGACCCUGGAUUCUCCUUGAGGGUUUCAUGCAGUUGCAGAGAUUUUUAUGCAUCUUCAACAUCUCAAGGGGCAUAUCUUCAGGCUAUGAGUCUAGAAAGGAGCUCAAGGAAUACUCAUGCAGCAGAGAAGGGGAAAUUCCCAAGGAGAAAAAGCUGAAAUUCUACACCCAGAAUAAGAACAGAGUAGCAGCCAGAAGUGCCCCAAAUGGCACAUUUUCCUCUAUAGCCACUUGCAGAAGAAGCUGAGUUGCUACUCCAGUGUGCAUUUCGGAUGGAUUUACAGAGCCUUGCUCAUACCCUUCUGCAUCUGCUGCUGGCUUACUGCACCUUGGGCAUGAUUGACAGGACCCGCUGCUGUUCGUGGGAGGUGCUGCCCUAAGCAGGUAGACUAAUUGUCCACACAUAGCUGGAAGCAAUCCAGGUAUGUCACCAGCUGUUCACUUGAGACACUGUCUUCCCUGAAGAUUUUCUUCAGAUCCUGUGACCCAAACCUCAACUGUCUAGCCUUUGAAUUAGCAACUCACAGGAGUUGCCUGAUUUAAGACAUGGUUUUGCUCCCGCCGGCAUCCAAUGGAGUUUUCAAGUGUUGUGUUAUGGCAGUUAGUA